CAUAAUUCCGUCACACGGCGUAUUUUUUUGUUGUGUUCAGCUUGCUCGGAUGCUCGCAUGUCUUUUCGUAGUGGUGUGUAUAAUAAUUUCAAGGGUGUCUUUGAUUGCGGCGGCGGAACGUCGGCAAGUCUCUGUUUUCUUCACCUCCAGAGCUUCGCGAAGUUACGUCGGGCAGGCACAAAAUCGAUUGUUUUCGUGAAGUGUAAAGUGAAUUUCACGCGUGAAAGUGUGGUGAAAUGGUUUAACGGUGCGUGACGGGUUAAUUCCAAGUGGUUGUGAUGGAGGUUGUCACCUUUGCAAGGUGGGUUUUGUUGUGAUUUGCGUUUUGACGGAUGCUGUGGGCACUAGAUUGGAUUAGCUUUGGGCGGAGCUGGGCUGUCAUUGAGCGGGAUGUUACGUCCGGCUGCUGCAGAGCUCCUCUCAGCCUUGACUCUGUCGGGCAAUGCAAAUUAAAAAAUCAGAAUGCUGAACUUUUGUGACGUACCUACUCUCUGUGAGCUGUCGAGCGCCCGUGGGAGUCCCCUCCAAAUAAAUAAAAACAAAAUCCAGGUUCCGCCAGAACUCAACUUGCUCUGACGUCAUCAGUUUCAUGGAUUGCUGCGAUUGGAUUCGGGAUUGAAAUUGAUUGCACAGGAUUCUGGAAAAAGGCUAAAAUUGCUUUGAUUGGAUGGUUUUUCCGACAACUGAAACUUAAAAUUAUUUUUAAAUAAAAUUCAAUUUCGGGGUGAAUUUUAGAUUUUUUUGAUCAUCAAAUCAAAUAAAAA